AUUGAACGCUGGCGGCAGGCUUAACACAUGCAAGUCGAACGAGUGGCGGACGGGUGAGUAAUGUCUGGGAACCUAGCUUAUGGAGGGGGAUAACUACGGGAAACGGUAGCUAAUACCGCGUACCAUCGGAUGAGCACAAGUGGGAUUAGGUAGUUGGUGUGGUAAAGGCUCACCAAGCCGACGAUCUCUAGCUGGUCUGAGAGGAUGACCAGCCACACGGGGACUAGGACACGGCCACGACUCCUCCGGUAGGCAGCAGAGGGGAAUAUUGCCAAAUGGCGGCAACCUGACGCAGCCAUGCCGCAUGAUUGAAGAAGGCCUUCGGGUUGUAAAGUUCUUUCGGUGACGAGGCGUUAACUACAGAAGAAGCACCGGCUAACUCCGUGCCAGCAGCCGCGGUAAUAC
rnacentral:rRNA from 1 species